UACGAAGGGUGCAAACGUUGCUCGGAAUUAUUGGGCGUAAAGCGCACGUAGGCGGCUUUGCAAGUCGGAUGUGAAAUCCCUCGGCUUAACCAAGGAAGUGCAUCCGAAACUGCAGAGCUUGAGUACUUAAGAGGAUCGCGGAAUUCCCGGUGUAGAGGUGAAAUUCGUAGAUAUCGGGAGGAACACCAGUGGCGAAGGCGGCGAUCUGGGAAGA
rnacentral:rRNA from 1 species